GCUCGUAUAGCUCAGAGGUAGAGCACUCCCUUGGUAAGGGAGAGGUCGCGGGUUCAAUUCCCACUAUGAGCUCCA
rnacentral:tRNA from 1 species